rnacentral:tRNA from 1 species
GGGGCUGUAGUUAAAAAUAACAUUUGGUUUGCAUCCAAAAAGUAUUGAUUCUAAUCAAUCUACCUCA